UUAUAGACUGUGAUAGGAAGAGUAGAUAUAAGAGGUAGUCCUAGGGAGUCGGGAAAAGUGAAACCCCGAUACGAAACUUAUAUUGAAGAACAUCCUGGAGUUUCUAACCGAAAUCCUAAGGGAGAGUAGAUUUAGACGGAUUCCUACCGUUAUCUUUGGAUUGGAGUGGCUAUUUUUAGCAAUUAGGGUGGUACCGCGAACCUUUCGUCCCUUUC
rnacentral:ncRNA from 1 species